rnacentral:rRNA from 1 species
UUUGUAGAGGGUGCUUCGGGCGCGAUGCCGGUCUAAGUUCCUUGGAACAGGACGUCGUAGAGGGUGAGAAUCCCGUAUGCGACCGGCGAUCAAGCCCGUGCGAAGCCCCUUCGACGAGUCGAGUUGUUUGGGAAUGCAGCUCAAAACGGGUGGUAAAUUUCAUCUAAAGCUAAAUAUUGGCCAGAGACCGAUAGCGGACAAGUAGAGUGAUCGAAAGAUGAAAAGCACUUUGGAAAGAGAGUCAAACAGUACGUGAAAUUGUUGAAAGGGAAGCGCUUGCAAUCAGACCGGUCCGGAGGCGAUCAGCCGCUGCUCGUCAGCGGUGCACUCGCCUGCGAUCCGGCCAGCAUCGGUUUGGGCGGCGGGAUAAAAGUCCCGGGAAUGUAGCUUCUCCCGGGGAGUCUUAUAGCCCGGGUCGCAAUGCCGCCCGCCCGGACCGAGGACCGCGCUUCGGCUAGGAUGCUGGCGUAAUGGUUGCAAGCGACCCGUCUUGAAACACGGACCAAGGAGUCUAACAUCUAUGCGAGUGUUUGGGUGUCAAACCCAGGCGCGGAAUGAAAGUGAACGGAGGUGGGAACCCGUCAGACGGCGCACCAUCGACCGAUCCAGAUGUCUUC